AGCGAACGCUGGCGGCAGGCUUAACACAUGCCAGUCGAGCGGGCACUUUCGGGUGUCAGCGGCGGACGGGUGCGUAACGCGUGGGAACGUGCCCUCUGGUUCGGAAUAACUCAGGGAAACUUGAGCUAAUACCGGAUACGCCCUUUUGGGGAAAGGCUUGCUGCCGGAGGAUCGGCCCGCGUCUGAUUAGCUAGUUGGUGAGGUAACGGCUCACCAAGGCGACGAUCAGUAGCUGGUCUGAGAGGAUGAUCAGCCACACUGGGACUGAGACACGGCCCAGACUCCUACGGGAGGCAGCAGUGGGGAAUAUUGGACAAUGGGCGCAAGCCUGAUCCAGCCAUGCCGCGUGAGUGAUCAAGGCCUUAGGGUUGUAAAGCUCUUUUAUCCGGGACGAUAAUGACGGUACCGGAGGAAUAAGCCCCGGCUAACUUCGUG
rnacentral:rRNA from 1 species